GCUCCGGCCUGGAGUCAGCGGAGGGAGCGCGGGAGGGAGCGCGCGCGCGUUCCCGGACAGCCCGCCGCAGCCGCUCUCCUUGAGCCUUCUCCUUUGGCCACGUUUCCCGCAGCUGCCUCGACCUUCUCGGGCUCCCGGUUCGCGGGCUCUCAGGCAUUAAGAAAACAUUUUUACAACUGGAAUAUCAAAAGAGAUGGAAACCCUGAGGAAUUCUCUGGCUUUAACAAGUGAGCAGCAGCAUAGAACACUGGACUUCC